GAUUUUUCUUUAGGCCACCGAGUUGAUUAGAGGGUCACUGCUCCAUCGUUGCUUCAGGCAAAAGAGUCUCCAUCUUCAUUCCAAAUGAGGCAUUCAUUUUCCUUAACUUGCAGACACUUUUCCCAAAUCACUUCACCCUCCGUGGAGCACAUAAUCCCAUCCCAAGCCCAAGCAGAGCAGCUCCUUAGGGCGCGUACCUCGCAUGCCUGACGUGGGACAGGAGCAUCAGGAGGUUAGCCAGGCGCAUGGAUUGCUGCUGGGAGGAGAUGCCGCUCUUGGCAAUCACCCAAACCAAAGCAUCGGUCACGGCGUUCAGCAAGUGAGCCAGCUUCCGGCUGCUGUCAGCAUCCUGGGUCGCUGUGACCAGAGGGUACAUACCUGGACAAAGAAUAAAAGCCAGAAGUCAUUGCUCUGA